GAUUAACGCUGGCGGCGUGCAUGAAACAUGCAAGUCGAGCGCGGUGCGAAGCGGGGUAACUUGCUUCGCAUCUAGCGGCGAACGGGUGAGUAACACGUGAGCAACCUACCUUCGAGUCGGGGAUAGCCCUGGGAAACCAGGAUUAAUACCCGAUGUGGUCACGACGAGACAUCUCGUUGUGAGUAAAGGCGCAAGCCGCUCGAUGACGGGCUCGCGGCCUAUUAGCUUGUUGGUGGGGUAACGGCCUACCAAGGCAGUGAUGGGUAGCUG
rnacentral:rRNA from 1 species